rnacentral:rRNA from 1 species
CCUACGGGUGGCUGCAGUGGGGAAUAUUGGACAAUGGGCGAAAGCCUGAUCCAGCCAUGCCGCGUGUGUGAAGAAGGCCUUCGGGUUGUAAAGCACUUUCAGUGGGGAAGAAAGCCUUGGGGCUAAUACCCUCGAGGAAGGACAUCACCCACAGAAGAAGCACCGGCUAACUCCGUGCCAGCAGCCGCGGUAAUACGGAGGGUGCGAGCGUUAAUCGGAAUUACUGGGCGUAAAGCGCGCGUAGGCGGUCUGAUAAGCCGGUUGUGAAAGCCCCGGGCUCAACCUGGGAACGGCAUCCGGAAACUGUAGGGCUAGAUGGCAGGAGAGGAAGGUGGAAUGCCCGGUGUAGCGGUGAAAUGCGUAGAGAUGGGGAGGAAGACCAGGGGCGAAGGCGGCUUUCUGAAUUGAAAUUGACGCUGAGGUGCGAAAGCGUGGGUAGCAAACGGGAUUAGAUACCCCAGUAGUC